rnacentral:rRNA from 1 species
AUUGAACGCUGGCGGCAUGCCUUACACAUGCAAGUCGAACGGUAACAGGUCUUCGGAUGCUGACGAGUGGCGAACGGGUGAGUAAUACAUCGGAACGUGCCCGAUCGUGGGGGAUAACGGAGCGAAAGCUUUGCUAAUACCGCAUACGAUCUACGGAUGAAAGCGGGGGAUCGCAAGACCUCGCGCGAAUGGAGCGGCCGAUGUCAGAUUAGGUAGUUGGUGGGGUAAAGGCUCACCAAGCCGACGAUCUGUAGCUGGUCUGAGAGGACGACCAGCCACACUGGGACUGAGACACGGCCCAGACUCCUACGGGAGGCAGCAGUGGGGAAUCUUAGACAAUGGGGGAAACCCUGAUCUAGCCAUGCCGCGUGAGCGAUGAAGGCCUUAGGGUUGUAAAGCUCUUUCAGCUGGGAAGAUAAUGACGGUACCAGCAGAAGAAGCCCCGGCUAACUCCGUGCCAGCAGCCGCGGUAAGUCUCG